rnacentral:misc_RNA from 1 species
GAAAUGCGAUACUUGGUGUGAAUUGCAGAAUCCCGUGAACCAUCGAGUCUUUGAACGCAAGUUGCGCCCUCUGGUAUUCCGGGGGGCAUGCCUGUUCGAGCGUCAUUAUAACCACUCAAGCUCUCGCUUGGUCUUGGGGUUCGCGGUUCCGCGGCCCCUAAAAUCAGUGGCGGUGCCUGUCGGCUCUACGCGUAGUAAUACUCCUCCGCUUAUUGAUAUGCUUAAGUUCAGCGGGUAUCCCUACCUGAUCCGAGGUCAACCUUAAAAAAAUUAGGGGUUGCUGGCAAGUAGACCUACC